rnacentral:piRNA from 1 species
UACUUUUACCCUUUCGGAAGCCAU